rnacentral:rRNA from 1 species
CCUACGGGGCGCAGCAGUGGGGAAUUUUGGACAAUGGGCGCAAGCCUGAUCCAGCUAUUCCGCGUGUGGGAUGACGGCCCUCGGGUUGUAAACCACUUUAGUAGAGAACGAAAAGGAGCUAUCGAAUAAAUCGCUCUGCUGACGCUACUCUAAGAAUAACCACCGGCUAACUACGUGCCAGCAGCCGCGGUAAUACGUAGGGUGCGAGCGUUAAUCGGAAUUUCUGGGCGUAAAGGGUGUGCAGGCGGCUGAGUAAGACAGAGGUGAAAUCCCCGGGCUUAACCUGGGAACCGCAUAUGUGACUGGAGGGCUAGAGUGCGUCAGAGGGAGGUGGAAUUCAAGGUGUAGCAGUGAAAUGCGUAGAUAUGUGGAAGAACACCGAUGGCGAAGGCAGCCUCCUGGGACGCAACUGACGCUGAUACACGAAAGCGUGGGGAGCAAACAGGAUUAGAUACCCCUGUAGUC